rnacentral:lncRNA from 1 species
GGGCGUGGCUUCGGCGGACACAGCUCAGCACAGCACGGAAGUGUUGCAUACUCACUUUAGAAAGCUCAUCAAUGAGGUUCUGCUGCUCCACGAUCUGGAGCUUUAGGAAGUCGAUCUCUCUCUCAUCUUGACUUUGAUCGAGGUCAUUUAAGGAGCUGGGUCUCCGGAUGAUCCCCGCUCUCUGCCUCUGAAAACAGCAAGCAGGGUGGGUACAGUGACUGACCUGGAUGGUGCGAACUGGAUGGAUGGGCCUCCCUACCAGCCUGAAUGACAGUUCAGGUUUCCUUGGUGUGGACAAAGACUGUUCGUCUUAGCCUUGGAACAGCCUGCUGCAGAGCACAGGGGCAACCAAGGCCCACAUCUGGAUCAAACAUCAAGCCCCAGGCAGCAUCCCAGACAGCAAGGCGUUGCGGUCUUCUAGCUUACGGAUGAUGGCACUUAAC